rnacentral:lncRNA from 1 species
AUGCUUCUGGGCUCCAGGUUUUCUGUGAGACUGGUCUUGGAUAUUUACAGUCCUGGAAUUGCAGGUUUUGGAGGUCUCGACUCAGUGGGCAGCGGGAUGGGUGGGCUGAAGUCUCUAUAUGUUCCCAGGCUCCCUCCCACACUUCUUCCCAGCACUGCUGCCUUGGCCAGUUGGCAGGGGAGCAUGAAAUUGGGGCAGUUUUUUCGGCACAUGUCCCUGCCAGCACCUGCAAGCGCCAUUUCUCAUCUCUACAGCCCCUCUGUUCCUGCCUUCUACCGUGUGGGAGAUGCUGGCUGGGAUGGCUCUUGGAGGCAAGGUGGCCUGAGCCAGGGAAAACUGGAAUGCUGUGAAUACUGUGGUGAUUUUUCCUUCAAAGAACAACCAUUUCAAUCUAUAGGCACAAAUAGUAGAAGGCCAUGCUGUCCAGCAGGGAGAAGCUGCAAUAUGAAACAGGGAUAACUGAAAGGAGAGCGCAGUAAUCUUCAGCAAGAUGCAGAGAUCAGUUUCUUGUUAGUUAAUC